rnacentral:rRNA from 1 species
AGUGAACGCUGGCGGUAGGCCUAACACAUGCAAGUCGAACGGCAGCACAGUAAGAGCUUGCUCUUACGGGUGGCGAGUGGCGGACGGGUGAGGAAUACAUCGGAAUCUACUUUUUCGUGGGGGAUAACGUAGGGAAACUUACGCUAAUACCGCAUACGACCUACGGGUGAAAGCAGGGGAUCUUCGGACCUUGCGCGAUUGAAUGAGCCGAUGUCGGAUUAGCUAGUUGGCGGGGUAAAGGCCCACCAAGGCGACGAUCCGUAGCUGGUCUGAGAGGAUGGUCAGCCACACGGGAAGUGAGACAGGGUCCAGACUCCUACGGGAGGCAGCAGUCGGGAAUAUUGGACAAUGGUCGCAAGCCUGACCCAGCCAUACCGCGUGGGUGAAGAAGGCCUUCGGGUUGUAAAGCCCUUUUGUUGGGAAAGAAAAGCAGCAGGUUAAUACCCCGCGGUUCUGACGGUACCCAAAGAAUAAGCACCGGCUAACUUCGUG